CACGUGCAGCACAUGCAGAGAAAAGCUGGAUGGUGACAGAAUGGUGCUGAAUAAUAAUACUACUCCCAGAGAAGGAGAGACAGUGUCAGAGUUGAGCCAGGGAGCGAAUGCUGCUCCACAUGACACUGAUAUCCAAAUAAGCGGUGAGGAUUGUAGUCCAGGUCGCGCAUGCGUGUUCACACCGUAGCCACAAGGACAUGACAUGCAGCACCAUACCUGCGCACACCGUAUUAACGUACGCACAUGAGGACAAAUCUGACUGGCGCAGUGAUGGCGUAAGACACGAAAUGUGUGAAACAAAGCAGCAAAAGCUGUUGCAUUUCUUUCACACUUUCUCUUUCUCACCGAGCGGACCAACAACUCUGCAGCGUGGCUCAGCUGAGAAGGACAUUCCCACCACUGCGGACAGUGGACAGAGGACAGUGGGGCUAUUUGGACGCCACGGGAAACAAGACCAGAGCAUGUGAGAGGAAAAGAGAAGCAGGAGUUAUGCAAAAACUAUCACACGGCACGACUUUGUCACACAAUGAGCAUGGAGGGGUAAUAGAGACGAUGAUGGCGGUGCUUUUUUUCCUCAAGAAAAGAGCUUUGCUUCGUAAAUGGUUUGAACACUAGAAAAGAAAUGUGCUAAUACAGUUGGUGUGUGCGUCUGUGCACAGGCAUCGCAGGUAUUUUGUGGGGAGAAAUGAGCCAUUGAGGUGCCAAAUGUAUUAGACACACACACACACACACACACACACUGUCAUAAACAAAGGGUCCUGUGGGAGGAAGUGCGAAGGAGGGAAAGUACCUCAUCAAGACAACAACAACAGCAGAGGUGCAGAGAGUGACAGCUGCUCACCGAGACAGACGUGAGGGAUCACCUCUGCACCAUAACAACAAAACCCAACACAGCGACCUUCAUCAUGCGUGCUCUAAUGCACACACGUGGCGGGUCCCAAACGUCAGGGGACAACGUCCUCUUAUUAAGUGUUUUUUUUUUUUCAAAGUUUUGUUUCCGACUGGUACACAUUUAACCAAUCAGCACGCGUGCUCUUGAUGGUUUGACAUUAAAAAUAGUCAACUGGGCAAAUGUGCAGAGCUUGGGCUUGCACGUCAACUCUUCAAACACCUUAAAUGUCGUCCUAAAGCAGUGAAGUGGUUACAUUUAAGUCUCCAUCAUCACUAGAUGCAGACUUCUACCGUCUCCUCUCGUGGUGCAACUUCUCUGUAUAAUCACAUCUCUGCUGUGGAGUGGAAACAUUCAGCCUUUGGAAAAAGUGUGGUGUAGCUUCCUGGUACACUUUACCCAAUCUGAGACAAUAAACCCACAGGCUGAUCACA